rnacentral:rRNA from 1 species
GACGAAGGACCCGAGCGUUAUCCGGAUUCAUUGGGCGUAAAGGGCGCGUAGGCGGCUCUGCACGUUCGUUGUGAAAUCGCCCGGCUCAACUGGGCGGGGUCAGCGGAUACGGCAGAGCUUGAGCAAGCUAGGGGGCAAUGGAAUUCCCGGUGUAGUGGUGGAAUGCGUAGAUAUCGGGAGGAACAUCAGUGGCGAAGGCGGCCUUCUGGUCCAGUACUGACACUCAAGUGCGAAAGCGUGGGGAGCAAACAGG